AGCUCUAAUAGCGUAUAUUAAAGUUGUUGCAGUUAAAAAGCUCGUAGUCGGAUGUCGGGCUCGGGGGGGCUGUCGGCCUAGGUCAGGCGGCCGUUCCGGGUCUUUCUGCCUGGGGAUCCUAUUCUUCUUAACUGAAGGGUAGUGGGACGCAGGUCGUUUACUUUGAAAAAAUUAGAGUGUUCAAAGCAGGCCUACGCUUGAAUACAUUAGCAUGGAAUAAUGGAAUAGGACUUUGGUCUUAUUUGUUGGUUUAUGGGACCGAAGUAAUGAUUAACAGGGACAGUUGGGGCCGUUUAUAUUUCGUUGUCAGAGGUGAAAUUCUUGGAUUUACGAAAGAUAAACUUCUGCGAAAGCAUUCGGCAAGGAUGUUUUCAUUG
rnacentral:rRNA from 1 species